GCUGCAUAAGCAAGUGGUUGGUUGACUCUCUCCUUAGAGAUGGCCUGGCAGAUGCUGGAGGACCACUCAGUAGAGUGCCACUUCUUCUAGAAGAAGCAUGGCCUAAGCUGGCCUCAGAAGCAGGAAGAACUGGAUUCAAGUGCUCCCUUGACACGUCCUUGGGCAAAUUACUUAACCUCUCAGUGUUCUAGACCGGAGGUGUCAAACCUGUGUUCCCCAACACUCCUGAGAACAGCCUGAGCCAGAUGAAAAUGUAACUGGGAACUAGUUAGCAAAAUAAAUAAAAAUCUAAUAUAACACA